rnacentral:rRNA from 1 species
ACACCGGCGGCCCGAGUGGUGAUCGUGAUUAUUGGGUCUAAAGGGUCCGUAGCCGGUUUGGUCAGUCCUCCGGGAAAUCUGAUAGCUCAACUAUUAGGCUUUCGGGGGAUACUGCCAGACUUGGAACCGGGAGAGGUAAGAGGUACUACAGGGGUAGGAGUGAAAUCUUGUAAUCCCUGUGGGACCACCUGUGGCGAAGGCGUCUUACCAGAACGGGUUCGACGGGGAGGGACGAAAGCUGGGGGCACGAACCGGAUUAGAUACCCGGGUAGUCCCAGCCGUAAACGAUGCUCGCUAGGUGUCAGGCAUGGCGCGACCGUGUCUGGUGCCGCAGGGAAGCCGUGAAGCGAGCCACCUGGGAAGUACGGCCGCAAGGCUGAAACUCAAAUGAAUUGGCGGGG